AUUGAACGCUGGCGGCAGGCCUAACACAUGCAAGUCGAGCGGAUGAAGGGAGCUUGCUCCUGGAUUCAGCGGCGGACGGGUGAGUAAUGCCUAGGAAUCUGCCUGGUAGUGGGGGAUAACGUCCGGAAACGGGCGCUAAUACCGCAUACGUCCUGAGGGAGAAAGUGGGGGAUCUUCGGACCUCACGCUAUCAGAUGAGCCUAGGUCGGAUUAGCUAGUUGGUGGGGUAAAGGCCUACCAAGGCGACGAUCCGUAACUGGUCUGAGAGGAUGAUCAGUCACACUGGAACUGAGACACGGUCCCGACUCCUACGGGAGGCAGCAGUGGGGAAUAUUGGACAAAGGGCGAAAGCCUGAUCCAGCCAUGCCGCGUGUGUGAAGAAGGUCUUCGGAUUGUAAAGCACUUUAAGUUGGGAGGAAGGGCAGUAAGUUAAUACCUUGCUGUUUUGACGUUACCAACAGAAUAAGCACCGGCUAACUUCGUG
rnacentral:rRNA from 1 species